rnacentral:rRNA from 1 species
CCCUUAGAUGUCCUGGGCUGCACGCGCGCUACACUGGAAGUUACGGAUUGAGAUACUACCUUGUCCGAAAUGGUCCGGGUAAUCACCUAAAAGCUUGUCAUAAUUGGAAUGGAUUAUUGUAACUAGUAAUCCUGAACGAGGAAUUCCUAGUAAGUCCCAGUCAAAAGCUGGUACUGAUUACGUCCCUGCCCUUUGUACACACCGCCCGUCGCUACUACUGAUUGGACGUUUAAGCAAGAUUUUUAAACACUGACAGUGUGUAGUUCACGCUAUACUACAGUGAGAAGAAGAAGAUCGAGCUUACUUGUCUAGAGGAAGUAAAAGUCGUAACA